CAGUCUGUCUUGGAUACAGGCAUCGAGGGGGUGCAUUACGUGCAGAGAUUUAAAAAACAAUAAUAAAACUGACUAAAAGUCAGUCUGCUUUUUAUUACCACCAUGUGCCAACAAUUCUAAACAUUGCCAGUGAUAAAAUACUCCUCCUUGAAAAAGUUUUUUGUUGGUCUAACUUCCAAACAACUACAGUGGUUACUGGGGUGCAGCUCUGUGCCUUACAAGAAAUCUAUGCUUUAUGGAAGAAUCUACACUCUCUUAAUGUGACUACCUCUCAGACAUCAGAAGACAACCUUACAUCACCUAAAUACAGCUGCCCAGCUUACUGGAGCCUUUGUGCUGAAUCAGUGGGACUUGUUUUAGCAUUGCAUGGACCUGAGUGAGCUCUGCAGCCACCACCUAUAACUGAAGUCUCUUGUGCCAUGCUUUGAAAGGAAGUUACCCACAGCAACUCUCAUUUGAGGAGAACAAAGCCAUGAGGACUUGCAUUUUUAACCUACACAUGGCCAGCAAAGGCACACAGAGUUGACAUGGAACACAGAACCAACUAAGGCAAAUACUGGCCUCAGAACACAGAACAGACACCAAAGAGUACAACAAGGAAGAGAAAUGAAAAUGAAAUUUAGAACUGCAAAACUCUGAGAGUCCCAGUUCCCAAUACUUGUAGGACCUUGGAUAAGCCACUUAAUAUCUUCAUAGAACCCUAGUUUCUCUUCAGCAAAGAAGUUGGUGUCCUGGGAAAAUCCCCUCAUUGUCACAUAGGGAUCAGCACCUAACUGCAAGUGCAAUUCAGCCAUUCCCUAAGAGAUGGGUUCCUACUGCAUCUGAUCUCGGCCAAGAUGCUCCCAUCUGCUUUCAACAUGUAGCAUCUGACGUUAACUAAUGUCUUCUAUUAGCAUUAAAAGAAAACAAUCUGGAAAAAUUCACUCUCAAGCAGAGUUCAAACAGGCCACAAGUAGAUGUGGAAUCUCAACUGUACAAGGUUUGUUAAAAUAAUAGUAAUAAAUAAAUACAUACAU